AACGCACCUUGCGCCCUUUGGCUAUUCCGAAGGGCAUGCCUGUUUGAGUAUCAUGAACACCUCAACUCUCAUGGUCCGCCAUGAUGAGCUUGGACUUUGGGGGUCUUGCCGGCCUAGCGUCGGCUCCUCUCAAAUGGAUCAGCUUCCCAGUGUUUGGUGGCGUCACAGGUGUGAUAACUAUCUACGCUUGUGGUUUUCUGCCAUUAACCUUCAGCAAUGGAGGUUCGCUGGAGCUCACAGAUGUCCUUUCCUUGGGGAGGACAGCUUCUUGAAUGUCUGAUCUCAAAUCAGGAAGGACUACCCGCUGAACUUAA
rnacentral:misc_RNA from 1 species